GAUGAACGCUGGCGGCGUGCCUAAUACAUGCAAGUCGAGCGAACAGACGAGGAGCUUACUCCUCUGACGUUAGCGGCGGACGGGUGAGUAACACGUGGAUAACCUACCUAUAAGACUGGAAUAACUUCGGGAAACCGGAGCUAAUACCGGAUAACAUGUUGAACCGCAUGGUUCAACAGUGAAAGACGGUCUUGCUGUCACUUAUAGAUGGAUCCGCGUCGCAUUAGCUAGUUGGUAAGGUAACGGCUUACCAAGGCAACGAUGCGUAGCCGACCUGAGAGGGUGAUCGGCCACACUGGAACUGAGACACGGUCCAGACUCCUACGGGAGGCAGCAGUAGGGAAUCUUCCGCAAUGGGCGAAAGCCUGACGGAGCAACGCCGCGUGAGUGAAGAAGGUCUUCGGAUCGUAAAACUCUGUUAUUAGGGAAGAACAAAUGUGUAAGUAACUAUGCACGUCUUGACGGUACCUAAUCAGAAAGCCACGGCUAACUACGUG
rnacentral:rRNA from 1 species